UAAGAAAAUUAUUUUAAUAAAAUACUGUUUUAUCUAUUUUACCCACUAGGUUUUACUUGAAAAAUAGAAUUUUAUUGAUAAAAAAUAGAAAACUUCAAAUCUAUCACAACUCAUCAACAGUCUACUCCUUUUAUGUAUUGGAAGCUUGUCAACUUCUUUUUGAAAAGUUAAAGUCAAGUUAGAGCUAAGACCAUAAACAUAUGAAGACUGUCUGAGAAGACAUGACUGGAAACUGAAUAGGGCUGGGCGUGGUGGCUCGCACCUGUAAUCCCAACAAUUUGGGAGGCCGAGGUGGGUGGAUCACCUGAAGUCAAGAGUUCGAGACCAGCCUGGUCAACAUGGAGAAAUCCUGUUUCCACUAAGAAUACAAGAAUUAGCCAGGUGUGGUGGCAGGUGCCUGUAAUCCCAGCUACUCAGGUGGCUGAGGCAGGAGAAUUGCUUCAACCCGGGAGGCAGAGGUUGCAGUGAUCCAAGAUCAUGCCACUGCACUCCAGCCUGGGAGACAGAGAAAGACUCCAUCUCAGGGGGAAAAAAAAGAAAAGAAAGAAAAGAAAGAAACUGAAUAUACUCAUUUUUCUACAAUGAAUCUGAAAAAAAAAAAAAGAACCAAAUAUAGGAUUACUUGAAUGAGACAAAAAAGAUGGAAUUUGGAGGACAAGACAAGAGAUACUAAGAAGAGUAAACCCAAUAAACAGACUGCAGCACAGAAAGGGUCCAGGACCAGGGAGGUGGCUUGUUCAGGAAAGAGUUAACUCAACAGGUCUGGGAUAUUCAAAUCCCACACAUUUCGAAAAAAAGUUCUCUCCUCAUUGGCUCCUGGGAGAAAAUCUCUACGUCUUUGGACUAUUCUUCCAGGUAAGACUGUAUUCAUAUGUCUAAGUUCCUUUGGCCAUAGCAGAUAACUUAUGCUAACAAUGAAACUUGAGAGAGUAUUUGGGUCAUAAUGCAUCAGUUUGACUUCUGGAGGGGUUGGAGACAGAAUAAAGCCAACCAUGUGAUUGCUCCAUGCCUAUGUGGGCAGUUUGACAAAAAAAAAAAAAAAAAACCAAAAAACCCUGGAGAAUGAAGCUCAAGUGAGCUUCUCUGUUAGGAAAUAUUCCAUAUGUAUUGACACACAUCAUUGGUAAAAGAAUUAAAUGCU
rnacentral:lncRNA from 1 species